UUGAACUAAUAUUUUAUUUUUACCAUUUAAAAGUCUGUUAAUUACUUAACCUGGCCCAUGUAUGACUUUACAUAUCUGUGUAUUGGUUUCAUGUUCCUCUAGAAGGUCCAACUUGACACACAACUUGAAUCCAACCAGACUGAACACUGACUCCAGGGACAGACGAGCCUGAAGGACACAGCUGUGAUGACCAUGUUCUGUCUCUUAUGGCAAAGCAGAAAUAUAAAACACUGGGUUCUUAUCUAAAGUGUAUCAAAUCAGAUCUCCACCAUGUUGCUGCUGAGGACAUCAGGUGCUGCAGUUCUUCAUCUAUGAAGAGAAAAAACGCACUGUUAAAGAAUGUUUUGUGUUGUGUAUAAAGCACAACAGAUUUCAGAUAGAACUGUUGUACUGUGGUCUUGGUUUAUAUCCUCAUGGUGAAAUGUACAUAUUUUAAGUCCCUUCUGAUAAAAGUGCUGAAAGAAAUACAACAUUGUACAAAUACAUAAAAUGUCUUUCUACCUCAUCAGUACUAUUCAAGGUGAUAAUCUCCCACAGACCUAUUGAUAACAGUCCAAAUCAAGUCUUUCCACUUCUCUCAGUGUGAAAACAUAAUUCUAUAAUUAAUUUGAGAACUGUUUACAACACUGAUGUGUGGAGAUUAAAAUCAUACCUAAACUGUCUAAUUCACUGUAAAACUCCAUGACAUUCGCAGGCCAUCUGUAGUUAAGGGAGCAACGCAUGGAGUGAUGUGUAGAUUACUAGUUUGAUGAUGCAUGAGGAGAGGCGGUGGUCGAGUGGCAGAAACUUGGACUAUGGGCAGAGAAGGUCUCUGGUUCGUCUUUGGUUCGACUCCAUGGAGAGACAACAAAAGUCGAACCUGGAUUGAUCUGUCCAAAAAUCCAAGAGUCUCCCUACCCUCUCUAGUGCCCAUGAGCAAGGCACCUCACUCCCCCAACAUCUGCUCCCCCGAGCGCCGUACAUGGUCGCUCACUGCUCUGUGUGUCCUGCACCAGAUGGGUAAAAAGCAGCGAUUAAAUUUCCCUACCUGCAUGAGUGUGCCUUUGCAUGUCUGUGCAUGUGUUUGGGAUGAAUAAAUGGAUUUUAAUCUUAAUCUUUUAA